rnacentral:rRNA from 1 species
AUUGAACGCUGGCGGCAGGCCUAACACAUGCAAGUCGAACGAGUGGCGGACGGGUGAGUAAUGUCUGGGAAACUGCCUGAUGGCGGGGGAUAACUACUGGAAACGGUAGCUAAUACCGCAUACCAUCGGAUGUGCGCAGAUGGGAUUAGCUAGUAGGUGGGGUAAAGGCUAACCUAGGCCACGAUCCCUAGCGGGUCUGAGAGGAUGACCGGCCACAGUGGAACUGAGACACGGCCCAGACUCCUACGGGAGGCAGCAGUGGGGAAUAUUGCACAAUGGGCGCAAGCCUGAUGCAGCCAUGCCGCGUGUAUGAAGAAGGCCUUCGGGUUGUAAAGUACUUUCAGCGGGGAGGCGUUACCCGCAGAAGAAGCACCGGCUAACUCCGUGCCAGCAGCCGCGGUAAUUC